rnacentral:sRNA from 1 species
CCUGUUGGAGCAGAGUACAUUAUCAUGGAAAAGCAGACCGGCACGAUGUUAAGCGAUGUGUGGGAAACCAUGAGAGGGAAACAGAAAGCUCAGAUUGUUAAGCAAGUUGUGGAUCUUGAAAAGACCCUUGCAUCGAUGAAGUUCACAAAGCUCGGGGCUCUAUAUUACAAUCGUGAUCUUCCUUCAUCAAAUCAUGACACGUUGUUGUAUGUCGACGGAGCCGGAAAAGAGGUACAUACUGAAGAAUUUGGUAUCGGUCCUACUAACCACCGUUCUUUUUUCGAUUUUGGGAGGGGAGAACUACGUAUCGAUCGUGGGCCAUGGUCCACAACCGCGGCGUACCUAGAGGCAGUUGCCCAUAGAGAGAUAGCCUGCGUGGAUGUAGGCCUGAGAUAUUCAGCAAUGCCAGAAGGACUUUUUUACGGGCCCGGACAAUACCAACCGACCGCAUCGAAAAA